AUGCUUCAUGAGUUGCGCAGUAUUGCGUGGGAGUGUGCGCUGACAGUUCUUUGUGUUGUGGAGACACAUAUUGCGAAGAUCCAUGUGGAAGGUUUGGUAGGGUCUCUUGGUUUUGAUUGUGCUUUUGGUGUUUGCAGUUCUGGGAGAAGCAGAGGCUUGUGUAUCUUUUGGAAGAAUUUCGUCCAACUAGAACUCAAGAACUUUUAAUAGUAUCUUAUUGAUAUGAAAGUGAUAUAGGUUUUCCAUGAUCCAUGGAGAUUGACAUGUUGGUAUGGUGAGGCAACCUCUAUCUUUUGUUAUAAGAUAUGGGACACAAUGAAGUUCCUGAAAGCAUACUGUGAUUUACCCUGGAUGUGCAUUGGCUUUUUAACGAGGUUUUAUAGUGGGAGGAAUAGAUGA
rnacentral:rRNA from 1 species